AUUGAACGCUGGCGGCAGGCCUAACACAUGCAAGUCGAACGAGUGGCGGAAGGGUGAGUAAUGUCUGGGAAACUGCCUGAUGGAGGGGGAUAACUACUGGAAACGGUAGCUAAUACCGCAUACCAUCGGAUGUGCCCAGAUGGGCUUAGCUUGUUGGUGGGGUAACGGCUAACCAAGGCGACGAUCCCUAGCUGGUCUGAGAGGAUGACCAGACACACUGUAACUGAGACAGGUUCCAGAUUCCUCCGGGAGGCAGCAGUGGGGAAUAUUGCACAAUGGGCGCACGCCUGAUGCAGCCAUGCCGCGUGUAUGAAGAAGGCCUUCGGGUUGUAAAGUACUUUCAGCGGGGAGGCGUUACCCGCAGAAGAAGCACCGGCUAACUCCGUGCCAGCAGCCGCGGUAAUUC
rnacentral:rRNA from 1 species